UGGAGUGGCCAGCCUCUUUCUUCCAUUGUUUGCUGCCCUCUGAGCACUGCCGCCAGUUUCAGAUUAUACCUGAGAAGUUCCAGAGGAGCUUGCAAACCAACAGAGUCUGGACUCAAGGAGCCAGAGCCUCCCAUGUGAACAACUGGCCAGGAGGCAUCAGAGCAUUUGGAGCUAGUUUACCACUGUCUCAGUAUAAAGUUUUCUUCCCUGUUCUGGUAAUACUCUCAGCAUGUUCGGUGCAUGGCUGUCCGUGUUAUGACCCCUCUAGGCUCAAAUUGACACUUCUAUUCUUCCUGGAUCUCAAGCUUGGUGCCCAGAACACUGGAACUAUACCAUUAGCUCUCCAGCUUGAUGACUGCGGAUCUUGGGGCCUGUCAGCCCCCAUAAUCAUGUGAGCAGAUUCCAAUAAUAAAUAAAUAAAUAAAUAAAUAAAUUAAUAUCUCCUAUUGGUUC